GUUUCCGUGGUGUAGCGGUUAUCACGUCUGCUUUACACGCGGAAGGUCCCCGGUUCGAUCCUGGGCGGGAACA
rnacentral:tRNA from 1 species